CCUGGUAGACAGUGCCUCAGCAUGACAUUCAGAAGGGAACAUGGUGAUCUCUGGACUUGUCUUUGCAUCUCCAUGUUUUGGAUACUUUUUGUAACAGCGGCUUGUUUGGGUGGUCCAGUGGGGCUGGGCUGGAGGACAAAAGAGGAAGGCUAGGCUGGGCCAGGCUCAAACAUGCCCUGUUUGGGAGCAGAGACCUGUCCUGUGGCUGCUCACAGUGCAGCUUCGUGACUUGAGCAGGUCCCGCAACCAGCCCAUCAGAUCAGUCCUUUAGGAGGAUGAGCAGACCGGGUGCCACACAAGGGGAGGCAGGGAGGCCAGAGCGAGACUUUGGCACGGAGCUGGAAGGUUCUAACUUGCAUGUCAUCUCCACAUGGGCCCUUUGGCCAAAGUACAGCCUCCACGUGUUUUGAGGCCAGGCAGGGCCAGCACCGGCAGCAUUACUACCGUGACGGAGUGGACUCCACUGGCUUUGUGAAUCUGGGACCACACUUUCUGAUGCAACAACCUGGGCUUCUCAGUGUGGGGCUCUCUGGGUCUGGUUCUACUGGCUGCUCCGUCUAGGGACACAGGAAACUCCAAAGGGGUCCAGCACACCACCUGAUGCCCGGCCACGUUGCUUCAACGCCGUUCACCAAGAACACAAAGGCUUGUGGGGAAAUGUGGCUACUAAAUGCCAUGCAUUUUUGAUGUCCAACAGUUUUUCUUACAAGAAACCCUGUCAGUUGCUUUUGAUGACUGGCCUUUGCACACAGAGUUCAGCCAAAGAAGUACCCGCCUUUUUAAAAAGAAACUCGCCCACUUCAUCUCCAGAAAGGCUUGUCUGAGCACGUCAGAUGCACAGGGACUCACAUGGAUGAUCACUCUUUAUAUCAUGCCAAAGAAUUGCAAAGAUUCUUCCAUGUACGUAAACCCACACACCAGGCGCAGGAUUGUUUGCUGCUGGCAAAACUUGGCAUUAGUCCUGGAAUCCAGGUGUGCUGGGGCCGGUGGAGGGAGAGAUCCACCUCCUGAGUGAAGAGAGGGAAGUCCAGAGGGCGUCUCUGGUUCGUUCGUUCGUCUUGGGGAAGCCUCAGCUGAACGGCCACCACGGUUUCUGCUGCACAUUAGCUGGUGCAGACAGAAAGGGAAGCGCUCAAAAAUAUUUGAGAACUUAGGAAUUUGCCUCAGGUUCAUUUCUUGUUUCUGCAGGCAAAAGAAACCAAUUUGAGCCAGUUGAAAGGGAAAAGGGAAUUCACUGCAAAGAUGCUGGGGUUUCUCAAGGAAUUCAAGGAGGAGUUGAGCAGACAAACUGAGGUACUGCUAUUGUAUUC
rnacentral:lncRNA from 1 species